rnacentral:rRNA from 1 species
CGCGGCCUAUCAGCUUGUUGGUGAGGUAACGGCCCACCAAGGCGACGACGGGUAGCCGGCCUGAGAGGGUGACCGGCCACACUGGGACUGAGACACGGCCCAGACUCCUACGGGAGGCAGCAGUGGGGAAUAUUGCACAAUGGGCGCAAGCCUGAUGCAGCAACGCCGCGUGAGGGACGACGGCCUUCGGGUUGUAAACCUCUUUUAGCAGGGAAGAAGCGAAAGUGACGGUACCUGCAGAAAAAGCACCGGCUAACUACGUGCCAGCAGCCGCGGUAAUACGUAGGGUGCAAGCGUUGUCCGGAAUUAUUGGGCGUAAAGAGCUCGUAGGCGGUUUGUCGCGUCUGCUGUGAAAAUCCGAGGCUCAACCUCGGACCUGCAGUGGGUACGGGCAAACUAGAGUGCGGUAGGGGAGAUUGGAAUUCCUGGUGUAGCGGUGGAAUGCGCAGAUAUCAGGAGGAACACCAAUGGCGAAGGCAGAUCUCUGGGCCGUAACUGACGCUGAGGAGCGAAAGCGUGGGGAGCGAACAGGAUUAGAUACCCUGGUAGUCCACGCCGUAAACGGUGGGAACUAGAUGUGGGGUCCGUUCCACGGAUUCCGUGUCGCAGCUAACGCAUUAAGUUCCCCGCCUGGGGAGUACGG